rnacentral:rRNA from 1 species
GACGAACGCUGGCGGCGUGCCUAAUACAUGCAAGUUGAGCGCUGAAGGUUGGUACUUGUACCAACUGGAUGAGCAGCGAACGGGUGAGUAACGCGUGGGGAAUCUGCCUUUGAGCGGGGGACAACAUUUGGAAACGAAUGCUAAUACCGCAUAAAAACUUUAAACACAAGUUUUAAGUUUGAAAGAUGCAAUUGCAUCACUCAAAGAUGAUCCCGCGUUGUAUUAGCUAGUUGGUGAGGUAAAGGCUCACCAAGGCGAUGAUACAUAGCCGACCUGAGAGGGUGAUCGGCCACAUUGGGACUGAGACACGGCCCAAACUCCUACGGGAGGCAGCAGUAGGGAAUCUUCGGCAAUGGACGAAAGUCUGACCGAGCAACGCCGCGUGAGUGAAGAAGGUUUUCGGAUCGUAAAACUCUGUUGGAAGAGAAGAACGUUGGUGAGAGUGGAAAGCUCAUCAAGUGACGGUAACUACCCAGAAAGGGACGGCUAACUACGUG